GACGAACGCUGGCGGCGUGCUUAACACAUGCAAGUCGAACGAUGAAAGUGGAGCUUGCUCCGCUGGGUUAGUGGCGAACGGGUGAGUAACACGUGGGCAACCUGCCCCAGACUCUGGGAUAACUCCUCGAAAGAGGUGCUAAUACCGGAUACGAACUCCUUGGGCAUCCUUGGAGUUGGAAAGUUUUUCGGUCUGGGAUGGGACCGCGGCCUAUCAGCUUGUUGGUGGGGUAGUGGCCCACCAAGGCGACGACGGGUAGCCGGCCUGAGAGGGCGACCGGCCACACUGGGACUGAGACACGGCCCAGACUCCUACGGGAGGCAGCAGUGGGGAAUAUUGCGCAAUGGGCGAAAGCCUGACGCAGCGACGCCGCGUGAGGGAUGACGGCCUUCGGGUUGUAAACCUCUUUCAGCAGGGAAGAAGCGAAAGUGACGGUACCUGCAGAAGAAGCACGGGCUAACUACGUGCCAGCCGCCGCCGUAA
rnacentral:rRNA from 1 species